AACGAACGCUGGCGGCAUGCCUAACACAUGCGAGUCGAACGAGACCUUCGGGUCUAGUGGCGCACGGGUGCGUAACGCGUGGGAACCUGCCCUUAGGUUCGGAAUAACUCCCCGAAAGGGGUGCUAAUACCGGAUAAUGUCUUCGGACCAAAGAUUUAUCGCCUUUGGAUGGGCCCGCGUUGGAUUAGCUAGUUGGUAGGGUAAAAGCCUACCAAGGCGACGAUCCAUAGCUGGUCUGAGAGGAUGAUCAGCCACACUGGGACUGAGACACGGCCCAGACUCCUACGGGAGGCAGCAGUGGGGAAUAUCGGACAAUGGGCGAAAGCCUGAUCCAGCAAUGCCGCGUGAGUGAUGAAGGCCUUAGGGUUGUAAAGCUCUUUUACCCGGGAUGAUAAUGACAGUACCGGGAGAAUAAGCGCCGGCUAACUCCGUG
rnacentral:rRNA from 1 species